GCAGAAUUCUACUGGCAGUAGAAUAACUGCCAGUGUACUAAUCAAAAUGCUUGCACGUGCUGUGCACAGUCAUAUCUGUGACAUAGUGAAAGAUACAGAAUAAUUGAAUGGUAUAAUUUCCUUCAGAGGACAGUGAAAGAAAACAGGGGCUUAGUAGUGACAAGGUUUACUUUGGGGAAAUACAUAUUCACAGCACAAGUUGCCCAUAUUCAUCAUAUUUGUUAUAUAAAUAAAUAAAGCGCCUAAAACAUCCUGCUCCUUUCUGUAAUUUGUGCUCAACUGGCCUCAGCUGUUAGACUUACUUUAAUAUAUCACAACAAUUGCCUUUGUUUCCGUGAAUCACUGGGGAAAAAAAGGAGAGCAGUUCCAGGGGGAGCCUGUUCUGGCCUGAAGGCACUACUCUUACCAUUCUUAAUUCUAAUGGUUUCUUCUGGUUAUUUUGUCUGAUAGCCAUAUAUUCUGAAUCAGUAUCAUUUGGAGCAGGAUUGUUCUGGAAAAGGGAGAAGUCAGUCCUGAUUAGGAUGCCAAAAUUAAGCUGUUUGUGUUCUAAUUAUAGGUGUGAACCCAAGGAAGUGCCUGCCACAAGUGCUUCCACUUCACUCUUAUCUGGUUGUGAUAAUAUAUAUGAGCACUGAGGAGAAACAAGCAAAAUUGCUUUGGAGAGUGCAGGUUGGGCCUUACAAUACGGAAUUCCUUACAAUAAGGAAAGUUGAAAAUCAUGGCCCCUUCCUACAUGCUUUGGAGUUAUUGAUGACUGCAUAUCGCUGGUUUUAAAAGAAGGGGAAAGCACAAUCCUGUAUGGUACUAAGCAAACUUUAGAAAUGCUGUAAAUUCAUGUUUGGACAGCUUUCAACAACGAAGUUGUCUUUGCAGAAGUGAAUUGCAUGAAUUUGAAAUUAAGUCUCUGGAAAAUGUCUAAUGAAAUCAUGCUUUUUCACAUUACUACAGAUUUUCAGACACUGAAAACAAAUCUGUUGUCUGGAAGACUACAUAAAGUCCAUGCAGAAGUCCACCUGAUAUUCUGCGCAAACAGCAAGUAACAAACUACUGGGAAGCUUCAACCUGCAAUCAGUUUUGGAUCCUGAAGUGGAGCAGCUGCAGAGAAGCAGCCCAUUUCUUGGAUGGGAGACGUUUAAGGACUUGUACAGUUUAAAUUACU